rnacentral:rRNA from 1 species
UACGAAGGGGGCUAGCGUUGCUCGGAAUCACUGGGCGUAAAGCGCACGUAGGCGGCUUGUUAAGUCAGGGGUGAAAUCCUGGAGCUCAACUCCAGAACUGCCUUUGAUACUGGCGAGCUGGAGUUCGGGAGAGGUGAGUGGAACUGCGAGUGUAGAGGUGAAAUUCGUAGAUAUUCGCAAGAACACCAGUGGCGAAGGCGGCUCACUGGCCCGGUACUGACGCUGAGAUACGAAAGCGUGGGGAGCAAACAGG